rnacentral:tRNA from 1 species
GGCUGGUUAGCUCAGUCAGUAGAGCAUAGCGCCAACAACACUAAGGUCGUGGGUUCGAUUCCCGCUCGGUCC